rnacentral:misc_RNA from 1 species
AGUCAUCAACCCCUUCACUUUUUGUGCCAAGGGCCGUUGGACUUGGGGGCCGUGCCGCCGCGAGGUGGCUCCCCUUAAAUGCGUCGGUUGGGCCUCGGGUCAAUAAUCGUCUGGGCGUUGUACCAUCCUCGCUCACCCGUCGACCGCGGGCGCCUUCCCACCGACCGCCCCCCUCGGAGUGGCGGUCAAAACCUUUUUGAAAU